GGGAGAUCUCAAUAGAGGACAUCAAACUUCAGAAAUGGUUUCGUUUUCUGUGCCGAUCGAACGAGCUUCAAUGCCUUUUGUAAUUGCCUUGUGGCUUUCAUGCUUUCUUGGAUAACUUGUAGGAUUUACUCUUUUAACUUGCUAUAAUAUUUCUUUUAUUUUGUCUUUAGAUUCUUUCAUGCAAUUUUAGGUGUGUUCUUCUGAUCCUUAUGAUUUUUUCAUUGAUUCUCAAUCAUCUUUCAAUCAUUCUAAAUGCAUGCAUGCC
rnacentral:lncRNA from 1 species